UACGGAGGGGGCUAGCGUUGUUCGGAAUUACUGGGCGUAAAGCGCACGUAGGCGGUUUGUCGCGUCUGCCGUGAAAGUCCGGGGCUCAACUCCGGAUCUGCGGUGGGUACGGGCAGACUAGAGUGAUGUAGGGGAGACUGGAAUUCCUGGUGUAGCGGUGAAAUGCGCAGAUAUCAGGAGGAACACCGAUGGCGAAGGCAGGUCUCUGGGCAUUAACUGACGCUGAGACGCGAAAGCGUGGGGAGCAAACAGG
rnacentral:rRNA from 1 species